rnacentral:lncRNA from 1 species
CCUCUCAACAGAUUUGCCUUCCUUAAGACUUCCUUGAAAGUCAUCUUCAAAGUGAAGUGCAAUAGCAAUAAUUCUCUUCUUCUACGUAAAUAUAUUCCUGUAUAUUCUUCAGCAACAGAUUGACUAAUAAAACCUUGUGCUGCAUAAAAAUAGGAAGUGGAAAGAAUGUUCUUGAAGUAAUCCAGCAGUAGCUCGUUGUGAGGAUUAUGCAACUGUUACAUACUGUAUUGAAAAAAAUAGAAAUAAUAUAUAGUAGGAUUGAAAGCAUUAGAGUUGUCACCUGAGACCAUGAAAAGAAGUCCUUUUCUACUGAACUGAUGAAAUUAAGAAUGUCUGCCUCUUCAAGAGGGGAGAAAAAAAUCUGUGAAUACCUGUGGGCUGCUGAGUUUAAUUGAACCAGUCUGGUAAUACUGUAUGAAUGAAGCAAAGUUUCACUGUCUGACUAAUUGCCUGUAAACUGCAUUUCAUUAUCUUUUUCUCUUUCCUUUAUUGUUACGUAGAACUCUGAGUUAGCAGAAUUAUGAAUCUCAGAUAAAGAGAAAUUAUCUAACUUGUGGUCUAUGUAUGAUAUCAUAUUUGCUGGCAAAAGACAUUGAGAGAAAUGAAUUUAUUGUGUAGAGAACAGUUUUGAGAAUUCCGGG